rnacentral:rRNA from 1 species
GGCCUCCCGGGUAACCUACCACCCUUUGUUUAUUACACUUUGUUGCUUUGGCAGAGCCUGCCCUCGGGCUGCUGGCUCCGGCCGGCGAGCGCUUGCCAGAGGACCUAAACUCUGUUUGUCUAUACUGUCUGAGUACUAUAUAAUAGUUAAAACUUUCAACAACGGAUCUCUUGGUUCUGGCAUCGAUGAAGAACGCAGCGAAAUGCGAUAAGUAAUGUGAAUUGCAGAAUUCAGUGAAUCAUCGAAUCUUUGAACGCACAUUGCGCCCCCUGGUAUUCCGGGGGGCAUGCCUGUCCGAGCGUCAUUACAACCCUCAAGCUCAGCUUGGUGUUGGGCCCCGCCGCCCCGGCGGGCCCUAAAGUCAGUGGCGGUGCCGUCCGGCUCCGAGCGUAGUAAUUCUUCUCGCUCUGGAGGUCCGGUCGUGUGCUCGCCAGCAACCCCCAAUUUUUU